CUCCCUCAGCCCCAGCAGGCCCCUGUGGUCCACCCCAGACCACCUGGCCAGAGAGAGAUCCCCAGAGAGGAGCCUGGGGUUCAAGGACCUCUACGACUGAACAGAUCUCCCUCUGGAGGAAAGACAACCCAACCUUCUCUCUAGUCCUCACUGUGCUAUGAUGUCAUUCUUCAACUCAAACCCUGUGAUGUCAUGAUCAGGACCUCAGGUUCAGAACAACCCUCCUAGACCGGAAAUAAUUUCAACAAGUGUUAUCUCAAAUGUAUUUUUUAUAAAAUUUUACAAAUGAACUGACA